rnacentral:lncRNA from 1 species
UGGAGACCAGUCACUGACUUCAGAGUGCCUGUUUAUUAAAGAUGAAAGUAAUGUAUGCCUGGCUGAUCUGAACAGCUGUCAGAGAUUCGGCUGUUAGCAAAGGAAGUCACUAAUUUCGAGGUAUAAUCACUCAUCUAAGAGAGAGACGGCCCGCCUUCAUCUUCCGAGCGGAGCUGGGCUGUGUGGUCUCCACCAGGUGUGCAAGAGGAAAAGAGGCGGUGUUGAGCCACACAGAGAGUGGACUUGAUGUACCUUGUGUGUGCUUUGACAGUGAUAAACCCUGAAUAUUCUUCAAAGCCGAGUGAGCAAAUGGGUUACUCACCGCUGGGUUAUAAGGCAGGGCAGUGCCCACCACAGCGCUCCGGGAAGACUCACCAAGCAGGGGGCCUGUGGGGCAGGGAAGAGGCUGCUGGUGGCUGA